GGAGGAGCUCUACGAGAACCAGAGCCGAGACCCCAGCGGGGACUGGGCCAGCACGGCCAGCACGGACGCCAAGGGAGUGGCAGUGCCACCAAAGGAGGAGGUGGCGUGUCCCCAAGGCUGGCACGUCACCAGUGACUGGCACGUGGACACGGAGGGGGCCGAGGAUGAGGAUGGUUGGCAGUACGGGGUGGGCACGGAGGACGGCAGCCCCCCGGCAGCGUGGCACAGCCAGGGACAGCAGUGCCACACCCUGCGGCGCCGGCGCUGGGUCCGGCUCCGCCACAGGGACAGCGAC